rnacentral:rRNA from 1 species
UACGUAGGGUGCAAGCGUUAAUCGGAAUUACUGGGCGUAAAGCGUGCGCAGGCGGUUCUAUAAGACAGAUGUGAAAUCCCCGGGCUCAACCUGGGAACUGCAUUUGUGACUGUAGAGCUGGAGUACGGCAGAGGGGGGGUAGAAUUCCACGUGUAGCAGUGAAAUGCGUAGAGAUGUGGAGGAACACCGAUGGCGGAGGCAGCCCCCCUGGGUCAAGAUUGACGCUCAUGCACGAAAGCGUGGGGAGCAAACAGG